CAAUAGCGUAUAUUUAAGUUGCUGCAGUUAAAAAGCUCGUAGUUGGAUUUAGGGUGGGAAUGGCCGGUCCGCCGUUUCGGUGUGCACUUGCUACGCCCACCUUGCUGCCGGGGACGUGCUCUUGAGUUCACGCUCGGGACACGGAGUCGGCGAGGUUACUUUGAGUAAAUUAGAGUGUUCAAAGCAGGCCUACGCUCUGAAUACAUUAGCAUGGAAUAACACGAUAGGACUCUGGCCUAUCUUGUUGGUCUGUAGGACCGGAGUAAUGAUUAAGAGGGACAGUCGGGGGCAUUCGUAUUUCAUUGUCAGAGGUGAAAUUCUUGGAUUUAUGAAAGACGAACUACUGCGAAAGCAUUUGCCAAGGAUGUUUUCAUUAA
rnacentral:rRNA from 1 species